rnacentral:rRNA from 1 species
CCCUGCCAUUUGUACACACCGCCCGUCGCUCCUACCGAUUGAGUGUGUUGGUGAGGAGUUCGGAUUGGCGUCAGAGAGUGGUUUUUCGCUGUCUGAGACUGAGAAGUUCUCCGAAACCCCCCACUUAGAGGAAGGAGAAGUCGUAAUAAG